rnacentral:rRNA from 1 species
UAUGAAGGGGGCUAGCGUUGCUCGGAAUCACUGGGCGUAAAGCGCACGUAGGCGGCUUUCUAAGUCAGGGGUGAAAUCCUGGAGCUCAACUCCAGAACUGCCUUUGAUACUGGAGAGCUUGAGUCCGGAAGAGGUGAGUGGAACUCCGAGUGUAGAGGUGAAAUUCGUAGAUAUUCGGAAGAACACCAGUGGCGAAGGCGGCUCACUGGUCCGGUACUGACGCUGAGGUGCGAAAGCGUGGGGAGCAAACAGG